rnacentral:lncRNA from 1 species
AGUCGUCGUGUCGGCAUUCCUCUCAGCGUUACCUUAUCAGGCUUAUCGAGACCUUUAAAAACACUGUGAAUAAACUGAACGACUUUAUAAACGCAAUUGUAAAUAUUUCGUUAACAAUCGCAGAUCUAGAAACCAAAAGAGAUAUAAAUAGUUGGCGCGUAGAAAUUAACAAAGAAUUGCAGAGAAUUUUUGUUGCUCCUUUGAAUGUUGAAAAAUUUACUUUUCAGGAAUAUAAAACUGUUGUAGAAUUGUGUGGAGAAAAAAAAAAAAAAACGAAAAGUUCGGUCUCAACC